UCAAAGCCUGAGAUGACGUCUGUUAAUUGCUUUCUGAUGUCCACUAAUACGUAACAAACAACAACAGACAUCUAUAUUUUUUUUACAUUAAACAUGGAAAAAGAGCUGAAUAUUACAUUUGAAAGACAACAGUUUAGCAUUCUUUUCUGAUAAACUCAAAAUAGGAAUUAAACUGAAUGAGGAAAUGCGUCGUCACUCUCGUUCUGAUUGGCCGUUCUGAAUAGAAUAGCAACUUUUGAUCACUGCAUACAAACCUAUGUGAUAACGGUAAACACUACUUCUUUGAAGAGUUCAGUAUUAGUUUUCAUGCUGUCAUACAGGAGCUGAUAUCACUAUGUGAUGAUGUGUCUUUGUAUGUGGUCAACCUGAUUUGUGUAGCAUCGCUCAAACUUCAGUGAAAGAAUGUUUAAUAAAAUAACCCUAUGGAUGCUAAUGGAAUAUUAAAACAGCACAACAUCCCUA